UUCAAAAGACCUAUGGGAUGCUAGCUUUAUAAUUCAAUGUCGCCUGAAAUAGUGACUCAAGUAAUGGGUUAUCAAUCCUCAAAGGACCUAUGGGAUGCGGUUCAACAAUUUUCUGGAGUACAAUCAAAAGCUGAAAUUGAUUAUUUAAAACACUUGUUUCAGUAGACAAGGAAAGGGUCCCUCAAAAUGGAGGAAUACCUAACUAUCAUGAAGAACGGAUGGACUUACUCAAAUCAAUCUGUUCGUCAGGUCUGCACCAAGAUGGGACAUACAGUCGAUGUUUGUUAUAUGCGUUAUCUCAAAGAUUUUAAUAACCUCAAUCAGACUCUCUUCGUGAAACUGCUAAUACGACACCUGGGUUUAACGACAAUAAGAACUUUUGUAUGCCUCAGAAUCCUUUCAUGGCCAAUUCUGUGUUAGCUACCCCUUAAACAGUGAUUGACCCCUCUUGGUACGCUGAUAACGGAGCCUCCAACCAUGUGACAGCCAACCCCAAUUACCUCAAUCAGAAAACAGAAUACACAGGACAAAAUUUCGGGGCGGAAUUGGUGAAGGGCACGCUUAAGGAUGCAUUGUAUCAGCUAGCCGCUCAUGAGCAAUAUGUAAAUAAAUUCCAGAUCCUUGCUGCAGCAAAGUCUGAUGAUUCGAAAGUUGCAUCCUCUAAUUUUUCAUUUUGUUUACUUGUUGAUGAGCUUCAUAGUACUUGUCAGGCUAAUAUGGUUGUGACCAAGUCCAUUUUGCACAAGAGACUUGAUCAUCCCUCUUCACAAACAUUAAACAGAGUUAUUAAAUCUUAUAAUAUGAAGUUUGCUUCUAA